ncrna:Pantoea sp. 3.5.1 L31-Gammaproteobacteria ribosomal protein leader
CGUGUGGUGCUGUGCGGGUUACGACCUGGCACGGAGAGCGACACGGCCUUAUCUGAGGU